GGAGAAGUACCCAAGUGGCUGAAGGGUCUGCACUCGAAAUGCAGUAGACCGGCUAAACCGGUGCGAGGGUUCAAAUCCCUCCUUCUCCGCCA
rnacentral:tRNA from 1 species